AUUGAACGCUGGCGGCAUGCCUUACACAUGCAAGUCGAACGGUAACAGGUCUUCGGAUGCUGACGAGUGGCGAACGGGUGAGUAAUACAUCGGAACGUGCCUAGUAGUGGGGGAUAACUACUCGAAAGAGUGGCUAAUACCGCAUGAGAUCUACGGAUGAAAGCAGGGGAUCGAAAGACCUUGUGCUACUGGCGCGGCCGAUGGCAGAUUAGGUAGUUGGUGGGAUAAAAGCUUACAAAGCCAACGAUCUGUAGCUGGUCUGAGAGGACGAUCAGCCACACUGGGACUGAGACACGGCCCAGACUCCUACGGGAGGCAGCAGUGGGGAAUUUUGGACAAUGGGCGCAAGCCUGAUCCAGCAAUGCCGCGUGCAGGAUGAAGGCCUUCGGGUUGUAAACUGCUUUUGUACGGAACGAAAAGCCCUGGGUUAAUACCCUGGGGUCAUGACGGUACCGUAAGAAUAAGCACCGGCUAACUACGUGCCAGCAGCCGCGGUAAGAC
rnacentral:rRNA from 1 species